GGUUCCCGGGGCUACGAGGCGGAAGCGAAGGCAGACGCAGUCUCCGUCGUUGACGUUAGUCGCAGUCUUCGCUGCUAACGUUUUGUUAUGAGUUGCUAAAAUGGUGAAAUGCUGCUCCGCCAUUGGAUGUGCUUCUCGCUGCUUGCCAAAUUCGAAGUUAAAAGGACUGACAUUUCACGUAUUCCCCACAGAUGAAAACAUCAAAAGGAAAUGGGUAUUAGCAAUGAAAAGACUUGAUGUGAAUGCAGCCGGCAUUUGGGAGCCUAAAAAAGGAGAUGUGUUGUGUUCGAGGCACUUUAAGAAGACAGAUUUUGACAGAAGUGCUCCAAAUAUUAAACUGAAACCUGGAGUCAUACCUUCUAUCUUUGAUUCUCCAUAUCACCUACAGGGGAAAAGAGAAAAACUUCAUUGUAGAAAAAACUUCACCCUCAAAACCGUUCCAGCCACUAACUACAAUCACCAUCUUGUUGGUGCUUCCUCAUGUAUUGAAGAAUUCCAAUCCCAGUUCAUUUUUGAACAUAGCUACAGUGUAAUGGACAGUCCAAAGAAACUUAAGCAUAAAUUAGAUCAUGUGAUCGGCGAGCUAGAGGAUACGAAGGAAAGUCUACGGAAUGUUUUAGACCGAGAAAAACGUUUUCAGAAAUCAUUGAGGAAGACAAUCAGGGAAUUAAAGGAUGAAUGUCUGAUCAGCCAAGAAACAGCAAAUAGACUGGACGCUUUCUGUUGGGAGUGUUGUCAGGAGAGCAUAGAACAGGACUAUAUUUCAUGAAAUAAUUUCAUGUUACGUUCUACCUAAAAUUGUCACUGGUACAAAUUUUUAUAAAAUCUCAUUUAUCAUCACUAAAUAAUAUCCAUCAUUUAAAGUGCUGCUUUGGAUUCUCUGGAGCAUUAUGCAUUAUAGUUGUUAUCCAAAGACUUUUUUGAAAAUAUGCAGAAAUUUGUGAUAAUUAUGUAUUUGUGUGACUUGUGACAAUUAUGUUUUAUAGACCUACACUAGUGCCAGGUCACUAUUGUAAGAUGUUAAAAUCUCAAGAAAAUUUCACAGAGCUAAAGAAAUGAUGUCAAAUUAGUCACAUUAAGCUAUAGUAGAAGGAACUGGACACUUCUCCAGAUUUUUGGCUUCAAAGGAGUACCUUUACUUACAUGUGCUUUAUGAAACACAGGAAAAGGAAACAAGAACAGGAAGAAGAAUAAAAACCAAGAGGAGAGAAAUGCAUUUCAUAGGAAAUGGCAAGUGGACAGGCAGCAGUGGUCAGAUAUCCAUGUUCAAGAGGAAAUGUUUGUUCAAGGCAAAAAAUUAUUUCUCAGUAAUUAUCAUAGCUAACAUUUAUAAGGUGCCAAUCUUUAUUCAAAGUACUUAAACUUUAUUAACUCAUUUAACUUCACAACAACCCUAUAAGGUAGGUACUAUUAUUAUUAUUCUCAUUUUACAGAAGAGGAAAUUAAACAGAGAAAAGCUAGGUAAUUUGCCCAAGGUUUCACAGCUGGUAUAACGAUGUCUUCAUAUCAUUAUAUGAAGUCACGUUGUUGUUGGUUCUGAUCUACAAUGCAAGAGCCAGAGACUUUUGUUUUGUUUUGUUUUGUCUUUUUUUAUUUAUUCUGGAGACCCAGAGACUUUGAUUCACUCAUUGUUGAAUUGUUGCUGAACAUUCACAAUGUCUUAAAGGCCAGACUUCAAUCACUUCAUUUAGAAGCUCCAGUUGGGGCAUUUAGAGGCUGAAGGAUAAAAUGUGAACUCAUGUUGUGUCUGAAGCUGAGGAAAGCCCAUAGUUACUCAUUACCACAAUCUGGAUCUGUCUGAUGCUACUGCCAAGCAUAAACAGAGCAGAUGCACACUCAGGAUGAAGUCACCUUACCACAUACACAGGCAAAACAUUCAAAUAUCCACAGGUUUCACCAGCACAGGAGUCUGUCUAGUCACCUGGUUUCUCUCAGCUCUCAGAAAGAAUGCAUGGAAUGAUAAAAGAUUGGUCUCGAUCUCUGCUAAUGCUUUACUCAACCACUGGAACUGACACAAUUUUUUACUCUAUGUCUACAUCUCUAGUCUAUAAUCAAAUACAAGAGCAUAAAAAAUUAAUAGCUCUUCUUUCUCCAUUUUAAUAUGAGGCUUAAGAAUUUUCAUUCUCUACGUGAUUUGCUGCUAUAUUAGUAAUAUUUCAGAACCAGUUUUAGCAAACCACUUGUGGCAUACUGUGUAUGGCUUCAGGUACAGCUGGAUCUAGGAGUUGAAAUGAUGUUUUCAGAAUCUGGAGUCUCUCAACUCUGCUUUGUCAAGCAGCCUCUCCCUUCCUGUAGGAUGUUCCUCACAACUUCAAGUCCAAAGACAAAAUGUGUGCCUCCUUUCCCGUCAUUCAUAUAACAGUCCUAGGACUAGUUCGGACUGAGUCUGAUUGAAAUGGCUUGAGUCAAAUACUCAACCCUAAAUAAAUAUCUGUGGCCAUAGGAAUGCUAUGCUAUGAUUGGCAGGCAUAGAUUACAGCCGAGUCCUGGAACCAAGAGUGUAGAGAAAUGAUGGUUUUCCAGAGGGAACUCAGGGUUAAGUCAUCAGAAGAACCAGAUAGGUACUGGGCUGGGCAAGCCAAAAUAAUGGCAGUGGAGCAGAGAGAAGAGAGUAGGCUGGCUUUGUAGCGGUGGAGCAAAGCUGCAGAGUGAAGAUUUUUUGUUAGUAAAUCGCUUCGUGUACAUUUGUUUACCACAACAAGGGGAACAGCAUAGAAGUAUUCUAUCCUUGUUAUGGCCAUGAUAGACAAUAUAGGCACUAUGGGUCACCCCCAAUAAAUUACAUUCUUGGAAGCUGACUCUUCUUAGCAGUGUCUCAUCCACUCCCUCCCUGUGGACUAUUGCUCUUUCCACUAGCCAUGAGGUAGGUCCAUGUGCUUUUGACAUUUCUCAGAGAGAAUAAACCAAACAUUUAUAUAGGGUGAUUUUUUAAACACUUUUUAUAAUGGAAAGUUCCAAACAAAAGUAGAGAGUAUAAUAUACUCUAAUGCAUCCAUCACCCAGCUUCAACAGUUAUUAAACAUGGACAGUCUUGUUUUAUCCAUACCCUCACUCUCUCCCCUCCUCUGAUUAUUUUGAAGCACAUCCCAAGCAACGUAUAAUCUGUAGCUAUUUCAGCAUAUAUCUCUAAAAGAUAAAGACUUUAUUUUUUAAUUUUUGUUUGCUUUUUUAGAGACAGAGUCUCACUCCACCACCCAGGCUGGAGUGCAGUGGCGCAAUCUCGGCUCACUACAACCUCCGCCUCCCAAGUUCAAGUGAUUCUCAUGCUUCAGCCUCCUGAUCAGCUGGGACUACAGGAGUGCACCACGAUGCCCAGCUAAUUUUUGUAUUUUUUGGUAGAGAUGGGGUUUCACCAUGUUGGCCAGGCUGGUCUCAAACUCCUGGCUUCAAGUGAUACCCCCAACCUCGGCCUCCCAAAGUGCUAGCAUUACAGGUGUGAGUCACCACCACCACAUCUGGCCUAGGACUCUGUUUUUUUUUAGACAAAGGUAUAUAUAUCACUGUUUCAUCUGAAAACAUUUAACAAUAAUCUCCCUCUAAACAUUGUGAUGGGUUGAUAUGUCUCUAAAGUCUCUUUUAAUCUGUAGGUUCCCACUCCAUUAUUUAUUUUACCUUGAAAAAAAAAUUAACCAAGUGUUUUGCCCUACAGAACCUGGGUGAAUUUUAAGGAUACUAUCACAGAGCUCUCACUGCAAUAGGACGACAGCCAGAGUCUCAAGAGCACACCUACUAUAGAAAUUAAAAUCAGGAAUUCUGGAGCCAAAUUGCCUGGGUUCAUAGCAUGGCUCUGCCACUUCUUAGCCACAGGACAACCUCUCUGUGCCUCAGUUUUCUCAUCUCUAAAAUGGGGAUGACAAUAGUAACUACCUCAUUGGGUUGUUUUAAGAAUUAAAUGACUUAAUGUAUGUCCAAUUCUUAGAACAGUGAUGCUUAGAAUAUAGUAAAUGAUAACAUAGAUGAGGAAAUUGAGAGGCAGGGAAGCUGACCGGUCCAAGGUCUUGCAGCUAAACAAUGGCAGGGCAGAGAGCAGAACGUGGAUUCAACCCACUGGUUUAAUACUCUGUUUCAAACCAUCGAUGAACGCAGGCUCUUGUUGACGUGGGCAUUACUCUGCCCCUCACCAGGAUGUUACUGCCAUUCUGUUGCUAAAUCACUGGGAUGAGGUUAGGAACCUUCUCCAGGCCUCAGGCUCCUGCUCUGCAAACUGAAGGAACUGGAGGUGUGGUUAAGGUGCCUGAACCCCCUUUUAGGAGAAAUUCCAGCAGAAGAUGCCCAAGCAAGCCUUGCAGGAAGUCAUCCAGGCCACCUUCAAGUCAGUGCCAACCGCAGAAUCUUUAGAUCCCCCAAAAGAGCACCUGUCCCUUUGUGGUGCUUCUGACAGAGAACGCCGAGCAGCCCUAGACCUCCCUCACCCUGACUCAGGGGUGCCCACCACUCCCCAUCCUCCCUGACACACAUAAUCCUGGCUGAGGCAGCCCAAAUAGCAGCUUCCCCGGAUUACUCACCGUGGCCCUGUGAGAAGAAUGCCUCUCCCAGGCAGCGUCCGCAGUUGUGACCACAGAUGGGAGACUAGCCUAAUUGGACUUACCAGCAGCUCACCUUGGCUUCCUCAAGGCCCAGCAGCAGGACAGGACCUUUCUCUGAGCAGAACUUGAACAAUAAAAGAAGCAGGUGAAGCUGAUCCAGCCUCAGACAGACCUCCAGUGGGCCCUUGAGGAUGUGAGAGGCAGCUCUGCGGGCCCACCCUAGAGCUGCAUGUGGACAGCUAGGAAGCCUAGCCUUUCUGACAUUGCUGGCCUGAAAGGUUUCAUCUUUAGGGUUUUUUUCCUUCUCAGGCUGCUAGCUUCCAUCUCACUUAAUGCAGAAGGAUGCUUGCCAUUGUCUCAAUUUAAGCACCUGAAACAAAUUACUUAGCAAAAACCGUUUUCAUUGUAUCCAAACCCAGUGUCUUCAGUUUGAGCUUCCUGAAAUUCCAAACACAUGUUCAAACCUCCAGGAAAGAGGGAAAGAGAGACUGAGAAGAGGGGGACUGAAGCAGGGAAGUCACUAUGAGAUUCUCCCCAAAAUCCCGAUGUUCAGCCUCUGGGUGAAGGACAUUCCAUCCUGAGACAGAGGGGUUGCUCUCUUCACCAGCACCUUUCUGAAGUGUCUGCGUUAGAGGCAGUUCAGUGCUCACACAGCAGCCUGAAAUUCUUAGUCCUCCCACACAUCUCCAGUCAAGGAGCACUGGCCAUGCCCCUUCAUUGUCCAUAAACACCCAAGCUCUUAUUUAGAAGCAAUUGAUUUCUCAAAUCUUUCCCUAUGUAUUUAUUCACUAAACCUGUCAAGCAACACAUUUAAGUAUGACAGAGAAAGAAUAUGGGCAUGUGUUAGGAUUCCCUAGAGAAACAGAACCAAUAGGAUGAGUAUAUGGAGAGGAGAGGUUUAGUUUAAGGAAGUGCCUCAUGCAGUUCUGGAGGCUGGCAAGUCCAAAAUCUGCAGGGUAGGCCAGGCAGGCUGAAGACUCAGAGAAGAGCCUAUACUGCAGUUCCGGUCCAAAAGCUGUCUGCUGCACAGUUCCCUCUUACUCAGGGAAGCUCAGUCUUUUAUUCCAUUCUGGCCUUCAGUUGAUCAGAUGAGGCCCACCCACAUUACAGAGGGCCAUCUGUUUACUCAAAGCCCACUGAUUUCAAUAUAAACAUCAUCCCAAAACACCCUCCCAGAAACAUCCAGAAUAAUGUUUGACCAACUAUCUGGGUACUAAAGCCCAGCCAAGUUGGCACAUCAAAUUAAUCUUUGCAGGGUGUGAGCAGGAGAAAAAAGAAGAGAUGAGAUUGCCCUGAGUCCAAAUCCAGAAAGCAGGGCACAACCAAGAGAGCUAAAGACCCCUGGGUAAAGCCACCUCCUGCCCCCAAGUCCUUCCCUGAGGCAGACUUGCUGGACAACCAGAUGCGUGAACAUGCAGGUACAGGCGCAGACCCUUCUCCCUUCCCUCCUCCUCCAUGCCUUUCACAACUAUUUGCUAAGUGUCACUAUGCCAAGCCCUGGGGCUAAAACUAAUCAGGACUUGGUUCUUCUGUACAUUUAAAAGUGGUUAAAAUGGUCAAUUUUAUGUUAUGUAUAUUUUACCACAAUUUAAAAUAAAUUCG